rnacentral:lncRNA from 13 species
GCGGCGGCUUUGCUCGGCUCGCUGCUCCGCGGACAGGUGAAGAAGAAAAAGGCCUGCUCAGCCGCAGGAGGGGCCCAGG